AGUAAAUCAACAGAAUUUAUUGAACACCAGGAUAAGCCCUAUGGGGAGAUGAAAGGGAAGGAAAUAUUGGCUCCUGCUCUGAACCAGAUUUCAACUGAAGAUGGAUUUUAUGAUGUUGGCAGCCAAGCUAGGCCACCCAGUUCAGCAGUUUCUGAGGGAUGAAUUCAAACCCCAGACUUCAGAAAGCCUAAAACCACGUCGCAGGACAAGUUUUCUGUUGCAGGAAGUAUUUGUAGGUGGACUCUAGUCUUCUUUAUCAACUAUAUGCCUUCAAUUUCCUCCCAGUCUUGCAAAGCAACCUGCUUCGUUUCAGCAAGUGUGACGUAGGAGUGCAUGUGGAAGGACCAGAAAUGAUAUCCAAGCAACAUAUAUCAGUGAUGCCGUCCCAGCUCCACUUGUCUAGAUAGGUAAUAGGAUCAUAAGCUGCUAUUGACUCAGAGCCAUCAAAAAACAAAUAAAAGUGAACUGCGCUAAGGGAAGUAAUCCAGAUAAAAAGACCAUUUUACAGACCCCUGAAGAGCUCUAGGGUCUCUUUUACCUAAACCCUUUCAUUGAUUAUCAUGUCUUAAGAGAAGGAAACAAGAUUUUCUGCAGAGGUU